GGAAGUGUAGCAUAGUGGUAAGGUGCGGGGCUUGGAACCGAAAGGUUGCUGGUUCGAUUCCCCACUGGAG
rnacentral:tRNA from 1 species